rnacentral:rRNA from 1 species
CCUACGUGAGGCAGCAGUGAGGAAUAUUGGUCAAUGGGCGCGAGCCUGAACCAGCCAAGUAGCGUGAAGGAUGACUGCCCUACGGGUUGUAAACUUCUUUUAUAAAGGAAUAAAGUGAGGCACGUGUGCCUUUUUGUAUGUACUUUAUGAAUAAGGAUCGGCUAACUCCGUGCCAGCAGCCGCGGUAAUACGGAGGAUCCGAGCGUUAUCCGGCUUUAUUGGGUUUAAAGGGAGCGUAGAUGGGUUGUUAAGUCAGUUGUGAAAGUUUGAGGCUCAACCGUAAAAUUGCAAUUGAUACUGGCAGUCUAGAGUACAGGUGAGGUAGGCGGAAUUCUUGGUGUAGCGGUGAAAUGCGUAGAGAUCACGAGGAACUCCGAUUGCGAAGGCGGCCUACUAAACUGCCACUGACAUUGAUGCUCGAAAGUGUGGGUAUCAAACAGGAUUAGAUACCCCUGUAGUC